rnacentral:tRNA from 1 species
UGUUCUGUGGCUCAGUUUGUCAAAGCACCGGCAUAGGGAAUAUGGAGUCGUGGGUUCGAAUCCCACCAGAACGC